AAAUUGAAGAGUUUGAUCAUGGCUCAGAUUGAACGCUGGCGGCAGGCCUAACACAUGCAAGUCGAACGGUAACAGGAAGCAGCUUGCUGCUUCGCUGACGAGUGGCGGACGGGUGAGUAAUGUCUGGGAAACUGCCUGAUGGAGGGGGAUAACUACUGGAAACGGUGGCUAAUACCGCAUAACGUCGCAAGACCAAAGAGGGGGACCUUCGGGCCUCUUGCCAUCAGAUGUGCCCAGAUGGGAUUAGCUAGUUGGUGAGGUAACGGCUCACCAAGGCGACGAUCCCUAGCUGGUCUGAGAGGAUG
rnacentral:rRNA from 1 species